rnacentral:rRNA from 1 species
UGGGGAAUAUUGGACAAUGGGCGAAAGCCUGAUCCAGCCAUGCCGCGUGUGUGAAGAAGGUCUUCGGAUUGUAAAGCACUUUAAGUUGGGAGGAAGGGCAUUAACCUAAUACGUUAGUGUUUUGACGUUACCGACAGAAUAAGCACCGGCUAACUCUGUGCCAGCAGCCGCGGUAAUACAGAGGGUGCAAGCGUUAAUCGGAAUUACUGGGCGUAAAGCGCGCGUAGGUGGUUUGUUAAGUUGGAUGUGAAAUCCCCGGGCUCAACCUGGGAACUGCAUUCAAAACUGACUGACUAGAGUAUGGUAGAGGGUGGUGGAAUUUCCUGUGUAGCGGUGAAAUGCGUAGAUAUAGGAAGGCACACCAGUGGCGAAGGCGACCACCUGGACUAAUACUGACACUGAGGUGCGAAAGCGUGGGGAGCAAACA